UACGUAGGGGGCAAGCGUUGGUCCGGAAUCAUUGGGCGUAAAGAAGCGUGUAGGUGGCUCGGUAAGUCCGCUGUGAAAGUCCAGGGCUCAACCCUGGAAUGCCGGUGGAAACUGUCGAGCUCGAGUCCGGAAGAGGCGAGUGGAAUUCCUGGUGUAGCGGUGAAAUGCGCAGAUAUCAAGGAGGAACACCAAUGGCGUAAAGGG
rnacentral:rRNA from 1 species